rnacentral:rRNA from 1 species
UACGGAGGGUGCAAGCGUUGUCCGGAUUUAUUGGGUUUAAAGGGUGCGUAGGUGGCCCUGUAAGUCAGUGGUGAAAGCCUGCAGCUUAACUGAAGGAUUGCCAUUGAUACUGUAGGGCUUGAGUACUGAUGAGGUAGGCGGAAUUGAUAGUGUAGCGGUGAAAUGCAUAGAUAUUAGCAAGAACACCGAUGGCGAGGGCAGCUUACUAAGGAGGUACUGACACUGAGGCACGAAAGCGUGGGGAUCAAACAGG